rnacentral:rRNA from 1 species
UACGGGAGGCAGCAGUGGGGAAUAUUGCACAAUGGGCGCAAGCCUGAUGCAGCCAUGCCGCGUGUAUGAAGAAGGCCUUCGGGUUGUAAAGUACUUUCAGCAGUGAGGAAGGUGGGUAUGUUAAUAGCAUACUCAUUUGACGUUAGCUGCAGAAGAAGCACCGGCUAACUCCGUGCCAGCAGCCGCGGUAAUACGGAGGGUGCGAGCGUUAAUCGGAAUUACUGGGCGUAAAAGCGCAUGCAGGUGGUUUGUUAAGUCAGAUGUGAAAAGCCCGGGGCUCAACCUCGGAAUUGCAUUUGAAACUGGCAAACUAGAGUACUGUAGAGGGGGUAGAAUUUCAGGUGUAGCGGUGAAAUGCGUAGAGAUCUGAAGGAAUACCGGUGGCGAAGGCGGCCCCCUGGACAGAUACUGACACUCAGAUGCGAAAGCGUGGGGAGCAAACAGGAUUAGAUACCCUGGUAG